rnacentral:rRNA from 1 species
AUUGAACGCUGGCGGCAGGCCUAACACAUGCAAGUCGAACGAGUGGCGGACGGGUGAGUAAUGUCUGGGAAAUUGCCUGAUGGAGGGGGAUAAUUACUGGAAACGGUAGCUAAUACCGCAUACCAUCCUAUGAUCCCUGGUGGGUUUAGCUUGUUGGUGGGGUAACGGCGCACCAAGCCGACGAUCCCGAGCUGGUCUGAGAGGAUGACCGGCCACACUGGAACUGAGACACGGUCCAGACUCCUACGGGAGGCAGCAGUGGGGAAUAUUGCGCAAUGGGCGCAAGCCUGAUGCAGCCAUGCCGCGUGUAUGAAGAAGGCCUUCGGGUUGUAAAGUACUUUCAGCGGGGAGGCGUUACCCGCAGAAGAAGCACCGGCUAACUCCGUGCCAGCAGCCGCGGUAAUAC